rnacentral:misc_RNA from 1 species
GAUGAAGAACGUAGCGAAAUGCGAUAAGUAAUGUGAAUUGCAGAAUUCAGUGAAUCAUCGAAUCUUUGAACGCACAUUGCGCCCGCCAGUAUUCUGGCGGGCAUGCCUGUUCGAGCGUCAUUUCAACCAUCAAGCCCCAGGCUUGUGUUGAAGCCCUGCGGCUGCCGCAGCCUCCCAAAACCAGUGGCGGGCUCGCUAUCACACCGAGUGCAGUAGUUUACUCUUCGCUCAGGGCGUGUGGCGGGUGCUAGCCGUGAAACCCCCAACUUCUCAAGGUUGACCUCGGAUCAGGUAGGAAUACCCGCUGAACUUAAGCAUAUCAAUAAGCGGAGGA